rnacentral:lncRNA from 1 species
AGUGUGAUGGGAGAUGAGUUUAUUUGUUCUAAUUAAAAAUAUGCAUUUCUGAAUAUUAAGAUAGCUACCUACUCAAAACAGCAAUUGAGGAAAGUCCCUAAAUUAGACACCUAAAAUUUUCUAAGCUUUUUAAAAGGAUGUUUUUCUUAAAUUAUUACAGCUAAAUUUCAUUAAACUUCUUGCUUAUAUUACAAAAUUCAAGGAAAUCCAGAGUCACUUUGUAGGCCCUGAGUGAUCAUAUUUCAAGUUUUUUCUUAUAUUUAGUUUGAUAGACUAAUUCACUUCUGAUUUAUUUCUCCAAUAUGCCCACUGUUUUCACCUCUUCCUCUUCUUUAUGUUUCCAGGAGUAUUUCCUUCCAUCUGGCCACCUAUUAAACCCUUAUGGAGCCUUCAGGCCCUGGCCGGAGUCUCACUGUCUUCUGGGAAGUCCAGGCUGUGUCCCUGCUACCAUCCCAUACCUUCCUCUCUGGAGGUGUUCUGCAACCACAUUUCAGGCACUUUUCGUGUAUUGUUCUGUGAUUAGGCUUACAGAUUGUGUUUCCCCACAAGAUUUCAGUUUCUUAAUGUCCGUACCCAUUUUAUACCAUCUUAUAUCUCUCAUGCAUUAUGUAGGUGCUCAAAAAAAUUUGAUGAAAGCAUGGAAUCUUCUAGAAGUCUUCAUAUGGUAGGUGUAUUCGUGUGCUAGGGCUACCAUAACAAACUAUCAGAGACUGGCGGCUUAAAUCACAAUAAUUUAUCUUCUCACAGUUCUGGAGGCCGGAAGCCCAAGAAUGAGGUGUUGGCAAAUUUGGAUCUGCUGCCUCUCCUUAGCCUUCCGUGGUGUUUCCUUUGUGCAUAUGAUUCCCCGCUAUCUCUCUGCAUCCAGGUUUCCUUUUUAAGGAUACUAAUCAGAUUGGGUUAAGGUCCACUCACAUGGCCUCAUUUUACCUUAAUUUCCUUUUUAAAGUCCCAUCUCCAAAUACAGUCCCAUUCUGAAGUACUGGAGGCUGGGCUUCAACAUCUGGAUUUAGAGGGUACCGUUCAGUUCUUAACAGGUGUGCCUAAGACACGGAGAGGUGUCUUUCCUCUUUGUUUCAUUUAUUUAUUUUAAUCGUUAUUUAUUUUUGUAAAGUGGGCUCCACGCCCGGGGUUGAACUUAACGACCCCGAGAUCAAGACCGGAUUGCUGAGAUCAAGAGCUGGAUGUUCAACUGACUGAACCACCCAGGCUCCCCUCGGUCUUUUCUCUUUCCUAGAAGGACUGAAAAAAGGACAACAGGCUGAAACAAUAUUGGAGGACUUAGAGUCAGUAGGAAGACGGUCUUGCUACUGAGGGUUUAGGUGUGUGUUAAUGAUUGGGAUGUACUAGGUGAGCAAGACUGAGAACCUUUAAACUUCGAAUAAUUCAGCUUUCGAGGUAAUUUUAAGAAAAACACGUAGGUUGAUAUCUGACCCCCUCAAAGUCAUCUACAAAAUACUAGGACAUCUAGGAGAAGUCUAAUUUUUAAAUAAAAUCACAGCCCACAAAGGGUCCUGGUGUGAUGCUGCCUCCCUCAAGAUGUCCCCAUUGGUGUCUCUCCUGGAAUAGUAUGUUUCUUGCCAGUGAAAUAAAAACGUGCAUGUCGGGAUCCCUGGGUGGCGCAGCGGUUCAGCGCCUGCUUUGGCCCAGGGCGUGAUCCUGGAGACCCAGGAUCGAAUCCCACGUCAGGCUCCCGGUGCAUGGAGUCUGCUUCUCCCUCUGCCUAUGUCUCUGCCCUCUCUCUCUCUCUCUCUGUGACUAUCAUAAGUAAAUUUAAAAAAAAAAAAAAAAAAAA